GCUGGCGGCACGCCUAACACAUGCAAGUCGAACGCAGUAGCAAUACUGAGUGGCGAACGGGUGAGUAUAAUGUGGGUAUCUGCCUUUUGGUUUGGAAUAACACGAGGAAACUUGUGCUAAUACCGGAUAAGCCCUUACGGGGAAAGUUUUAACGCCAAAAGAUGAGCCCACACUUGAUUAGCUUGUUGGUAAGGUAAUAGCUUACCAAGGCUACGAUCAAUAGCUGAUCUGAGAGGAUGGUCAGCCACAUUGGGACUGAGACACGGCCCAAACUCCUACGGGAGGCAGCAGUGGGGAAUCUUGCACAAUGGGGGAAACCCUGAUGCAGCGAUGCCGCGUGAGUGAAGAAGGCCUUUGGGUUGCAAAGCUCUUUCGUCGGGGAAGAAAAUGACUGUACCCGAAUAAGAAGGUCCGGCUAACUUCGUGCCAGCAGCCGCGGUAAUACGAAGGGACCUAGCGUAGUUCGGAAUCACUGGGCUUAAAGAGCUCGUAGGUGGUUAAGAAAGUUGGUGGUGAAAUCCCAAGGCUUAACCUUGGAACUGCCACCAAAACUUUUUAACUAGAGUAUGAUAGAGGUAAGCGGAAUUUCUAGUGUAGAGGUGAAAUUCGUAGAUAUUAGAAAGAACACCAAUUGCGAAGGCAGCUUUCUGGAUCAUUACUGACACUGAGGAGCGAAAGCAUGGGUAGCGAAGAGGAUUAGAUACCCUCGUAGUCCAUGCCGUAAACGAUGUGUGCUAGACGUUGGAAAUUUUAUUUUCAGUGUCGCAGCAAAAGCGUUAAGCACACCGCCUGGGGAGUACGACCGCAAGGUUAAAACUCAAAUGAAUUGACGGGGACCCGCACAAGUAGUGGAGCAUGUGGUUUAAUUCGAAGAUACGCGCAGAACCUUACCAACACUUGACAUGUUCGUCGCGACUCUAAGAGAUUAGAGUCUUCGGUUCGGCCGGACGAAACACAGGUGCUGCAUGGCUGUCGUCAGCUCGUGUCGUGAGAUGUUGGGUUAAGUCC
rnacentral:rRNA from 1 species